UACGGGGGGGGCAAGCGUUGUUCGGAAUUACUGGGCGUAAAGGGCUCGUAGGUGGCCAACUAAGUCAGACGUGAAAUCCCCAGGCUCAACUUGGGAACUGCGUCUGAUACUGGAUGGCUUGAAUUCGGGAGAGGGAUGCAGAAUUCCAGGUGUAGCGGUGGAAUGCGCAGAUAUCAGGAGGAACACCAAUAGCGAAGGCAGCUUGCUGGGACGGUACUGACGCUAAGGCGCGAAAGCGUGGGAGCGAACAGG
rnacentral:rRNA from 1 species